UGCGCAAGUCAUUGGGACUUAGCGAAACCUAAAGGCGAAAUGAAAGUGAAUAAUUGCCUUGUGCAAUUUUAGGGCAGAUAAAUGAAACAUUAAUUGUGACAUUUCGCAUGCCCGGGGCGUCUCAAUCUCAUUGCGAGAUGGGGCGCACCUAGAGCGUAUAUGCUGGGACCCGAAAGAUGGUGAACUAUGCCUGGUCAGGACGAAGUCAGGGGAAACCCUGAUGGAGGUCCGUAGCGAUUCUGACGUGCAAAUCGAUCGUAAGAACUGGGUAUAGGGGCGAAAGACUAAUCGAACCAUCUAGUAGCUGGUUCCCUCCGAAGUUUCCCUCAGGAUAGCUGGCGCUCGCAUAUGCGAGUCUCAUCUGGUAAAGCGAAUGAUUAGAGGCAUUGGGGUCGAAACGGCCUCAACCUAUUCUCAAACUUUAAAUGGGUGAGAACUCCGGCUUGCUUGAAUUAGUGAAGCCGGAGACCUCGGAUCAGAGUGCCAAGUGGGCCACUUUUGGUAAGCAGAACUGGCGCUGUGGGAUGAACCAAACGUUGAGUUAAAGCGCCUAAAUCGACGCUUAUGGGAUACCAUGAAAGGCGUUG
rnacentral:rRNA from 1 species